UUUGACGUGGUAUUUUAUUUAUAAUUAUUUAAAAUUAAUAAACAUCUAUUGAAAUUAUUAUAAAAAUAUAAUUGUCACAAUCCGUCUUCUUGGAUCAAACCGACGCUAGAGCUUGGAUAAAUAUAAGGCCUCCAAAGCCUCCAAAAUCCUUAGUAAGGAUUUCGUGACCAUAACUACUUCUAAACCCAUUAUUAUUUGGGGCCCAAUACAAGUAUUCGCAAACUUAAGUGUCUUAUUGAUUAUAUAUAUAUAUAUACACACAUAUGAAUAUAAGUAUUUACAAUUAUGAGGAAGGACAAGCAACAUUCCUAAUAUCGUUUAUUCAAAUUUCUAAGUUUAUUUACAAUUUCAAAAGAUUACAGUAAUUGCGAAACUCUAAUUACAUAAAGGCAAGUAAGGUCCUUUUAGAAGAAUAGAUCUAGCUGCUCUGGAGGUGCCUACGGUAGUUGAAAGAAGAAGCUAAUAACAGUUCAAGCCGUAUUAGCAAAUUUCAAUCCCUCCAUUCGAUCCUCUAACGGCUACUGUUGAAUCUCUUGAAGCGCCCUUGUGGAUAAGAGCCGCCGGAGAUUGGCCGGAGUUCAACUAUCAAAUUCUCUCUCUUUCUUUGUCGCACUAAGAACGGGCCGAUGAGCAUGUGGUGUUGGGAGGGACUAAGGGCGAAGCUUAGGUGGCGCAGGUAAGGUCUUUUGGCCGUUGAGUGGCUUGAAAACAAGAGAGGAGUAGAGAGAUACUGCUGUCGCAGCUUCGCGACAAAGGAGAAGAGGAAGAGUGAAAGAAAAGAAAAGGAAAGAGAAAGAGAUAGGGGAAACUCUGGGCCUUUGGGCAGUUUUAGGAUAACUUAAUAAAUAUUAUUAUUAUUAUUAUUAUUGAUAUUUUAUUCAACAACUUCUUUAGGAAAUCGGUUUAGGUUCAAAAGACUUGAUUUGAGUCUAUUCGAGUUUCAACUCGGUUCACAUAAACCAAACAAACCAUGACUAUAUGAAAUAAUUUUGAUUCGAAGAGAUCGUAUUUACGUGGCAUUUAUAAUUAAAUUAAAUUUUCUUAGUUUUGAAAUUUAUAAUUCGG
rnacentral:lncRNA from 1 species